AACUUUCAGCAACGGAUCUCUU
rnacentral:rRNA from 2 species